UACGGGGGGAGCAAGCGUUGUUCGGAUUUACUGGGCGUAAAGGGCGCGUAGGCGGCCAGCACAAGUCAGUUGUGAAAUCUCCGGGCUUAACUCGGAAAGGUCAACUGAUACUGUGCGACUAGAGUGCGGAAGGGGCAACUGGAAUUCUCGGUGUAGCGGUGAAAUGCGUAGAUAUCGAGAGGAACACCUGCGGCGAAGGCGGGUUGCUGGGCCGACACUGACGCUGAUGCGCGAAAGCCAGGGGAGCGAACAGG
rnacentral:rRNA from 1 species